AUACGUAGGGUGCAAGCGUUAAUCGGAAUUACUGGGCGUAAAGCGUGCGCAGGCGGCUUUGUAAGACAGAGGUGAAAUCCCCGGGCUCAACCUGGGAACUGCCUUUGUGACUGCAAGGCUAGAGUACGGCAGAGGGGGAUGGAAUUCCGCGUGUAGCAGUGAAAUGCGUAGAUAUGCGGAGGAACACCGAUGGCGAAGGCAAUCCCCUGGGCCUGUACUGACGCUCAUGCACGAAAGCGUGGGGAGCAAACAGGAGUAGAUACCCUGGUAGUCCACGCCCUAAACGAUGUCAACUGGUUGUUGGGUCUUCAUUGACUCAGUAACGAAGCUAACGCGUGAAGUUGACCGCCUGGGGAGUACGGCCGCAAGGUUGAAACUUAAAUGAAUUGGCGGGG
rnacentral:rRNA from 1 species